CAUGUAUCCCUGGUACGUUCGACGUCAUUUGCACCAACGAAAUUAUAUUGACGUCAUGCGAAUGCGUUAUUUAAUAAUUUAUACACGUAUCACUCGAAAUCACUCCCUCAUCGUAUUCUCUGAAUUUCAUGCAUGAUUACUAGCAAUCAAUAACUUUGGUUCCAAUUCAGAGACGUUGAUCAAUAUAUUUUCCGACGCCAUGACGAUCGAGCCUCGUUCCCGGCGCACUUCAGUGCAGUACCUAGGAGCGAGUGAAAUAAAUCUCGAUUGACGUUCGAUAUAUCGAAUUUGAAAAUCGCUUGAGAACGAGACGAUUGCAGUCAUCGUGCGCACAAUCAAGGACGUAAUAAUUGUACGAUCAAUCGGAAUUAUGUUAAUCUGACAUGAACGUGAUAAAAAGCCUUUUUUUUUUAAUUCAAUCGACAUACUGGUUUUGAUUUAUCGCCAAUAUUAAAUCACGCGCGAAAGUUUUUCUUGACUUUUGAAUAGAUCAAAGUGUGUGUGUGUGUAUAUAUAUAUAUAUUUAUUACAUAUAUUACUGCUAUCCGACUGUGAAUGUAUAUAUGCAUGCCGUAAAAAAAAAUAUGUGGGAUUUUCCUUUAAAUAAAGUAUUGUUUGAAAUUUGAUGCCGUGUAUCGUCGAUGCAAUGAGACGAGCAAUUGACCUUUUCUCAUGGAAGCACAUGCGAGGCGUUUAACGAUAAGCUGAAGGGUGCGGUAAUGAUUCACCAGCCUGGCAGACAUUGUCCGAGUGACACGCAUAAAUGGGUGAAAAGCAAAAGAGAAAAAUGUAAAUUGGAACGAUGCAAUAAUAUACGAUAUGCAUAUAUGCAUGUGUUAGGUGCGAUAAAUAGUAUUAUAAUCAACGAUUUCAUAACGUAUUGCGCCAUGCUGUGGUCAGGUGAAAUUUCGCGUGAUGCAACGUCAAAAUAUUAUAGAUGAAACCAGUCAAUUUGCAUUCACGACGUCAAAAUUCGAAAUAAGGUUAGUGUCAUAAAGUCAAUCAAAUUUCGAAUUAUGGCAAUUAAUUUUUUUUUUGUAAAAUUUCCUUGAUACUCUUUCGAUAGAAUAAAUUAUAAUUCAUUGAUAGAUUAAAAUUUUCGUCUUCUGGUUACUGGGAUCUAUUUGUGGAUUUUAAUUUUAAUGGAACCUCAGGCCGCGAUGACACGUGUAAUUUCUAAUUUUAAUUGCCAUAUGCAGAAUACCCUCUCGCAUAUACCAGAAUUAUAUACUUACCCUUGGCUAUGCUUGUAUUAUAUAAGCCUCUGACAAUAGAGCGAAAUACGAUUCUGGGGAAUACAUGGAAUAUAGAUUCUAGAAUAUAGAUUGAGACGUAGUGUAGGACCUAUAGUCAAUCCACAACUUAAGUGUGAAAUCCAGGGGACUCCUUUGCAUUGAAUUUCGUAAGGAGAUGGCCCUUCGAAACACAUUUUACUAAACUUAUGGGAUAUACGCUCGAAUGAAUUCGGUUGAUUGAAUAUAGAGUAUUGUUAGUAAACAAUGUAGAUCAGAAAUAUUAUAUCUAUAAACGAUUCCUCUGACUGUGGAAGAUUCCCAUAAGGGAUGCCAAUGAACCUGAAAUCCUAUCACGUGUAAUAUCAAAGUCCACAACUGGAUCUGUUCACAGAAGUGAUUAACGACAUUGACUACUAAAGACGUUCACAGGACUGUCAAAUAGAAAUAGCCGAAAUUGAAAACAAAAGAAAAAGUAUAUAAACAUUGAAGUUGAAUAUGAAAUUAGCAAUA